rnacentral:rRNA from 1 species
GACGAACGCUGGCGGCAUGCCUAACACAUGCAAGUCGAACGAUACCUUCGGGUCUAUGUGCGCACGGGUGGGUAACGCGUGGGAACCUUCCCUUAGGUUGGGAAUAACUCCCCGAGGGGGGUGCUAAUACCAGAUGAUUUCUUCUGACCAAAGAUUUAUUGGCUUUGGAUGGGGCCGAGUUGGAGUUGCUAGUUGGUAGGGUAAAGGCCUACCAAGGUGACGUUGCCUAGCUGGUGUGAGAGGAUGACCAACAACACUGGGACCGAGACCCGGCCCAGACCUCUAGGGGAGGCCGCAGUGGGGAAUAUUGGACAAUGGGCGAGAGACUGAUCCAGCAGUGCCGCGUGAGUGAUGAAGGCCUUAGGGUUGUAAAGCUCUUUUACCCGGGAUGAUAAUGACAGUACCGGGCGAAUAAGCUCCGGCUAACUACGUG